GUGCCAGCUUCGACAGCACAUAUACUAAAAUUGGAACGAUACAGAGAAGAUUGGCAUGGCCCCUGUGCAAGGAUGAUACACAAAUUCACGACGAGUUCCAUAUUUUU